rnacentral:rRNA from 1 species
UACGAAGGAUCCAAGCGUUAUCCGGAUUCAUUGGGUUUAAAGGGAGCGUAGGCGGCUUUAUAAGUCAGUGGUGAAAUCUCUCGGCUCAACCGAGAAACUGCCAUUGAUACUGUAGAGCUAGAGUACAGAUGAUGUUGGCGGAAUGUGUCAUGUAGCGGUGAAAUGCAUAGAUAUGACACAGAACACCGAUUGCGAAGGCAGCUGACAAAACUGUAACUGACGCUGAGGCUCGAAAGUGCGGGGAUCAAACAGG